GACGAGCUCAGAGUUUGAUCCUGGCUCAGGACGAACGCUGGCGGCGUGCCUAAUACAUGCAAGUCGAGCGCGGGAAGCAAGUGAUCACCCUUCGGGGUGUGAACUUGUGGAACGAGCGGCGGACGGGUGAGUAACACGUGGGCAACCUGCCUGUAAGAUCGGGAUAACUCGCGGAAACGUGAGCUAAUACCGGAUAAUACUUUUUAACUCCUGUUGGAAAGUUAAAAGACGGCAUCUCGCUGUCACUUACAGAUGGGCCCGCGGCGCAUUAGCUAGUUGGUGAGGUAAUGGCUCACCAAGGCGACGAUGCGUAGCCGACCUGAGAGGGUGAUCGGCCACACUGGGACUGAGACACGGCCCAGACUCCUACGGGAGGCAGCAGUAGGGAAUCUUCCGCAAUGGACGAAAGUCUGACGGAGCAACGCCGCGUGAGUGAUGAAGGUUUUCGGAUCGUAAAACUCUGUUGUUAGGGAAGAACAAGUGCGAGAGUAACUGCUCGCACCUUGACGGUACCUAACCAGAAAGCCACGGCUAACUACGUGCCAGCAGCCGCGGUAAUACGUAGGUGGCAAGCGUUGUCCGGAAUUAUUGGGCGUAAAGCGCUCGCAGGCGGUCUUUUAAGUCUGAUGUGAAAGCCCACGGCUUAACCGUGGAGGGUCAUUGGAAACUGGAGGACUUGAGUACAGAAGAGGAGAGUGGAAUUCCACGUGUAGCGGUGAAAUGCGUAGAGAUGUGGAGGAACACCAGUGGCGAAGGCGACUCUCUGGUCUGUAACUGACGCUGAGGAGCGAAAGCGUGGGGAGCGAACAGGAUUAGAUACCCUGGUAGUCCACGCCGUAAACGAUGAGUGCUAGGUGUUAGGGGGUUUCCGCCCCUUAGUGCUGCAGUUAACGCAUUAAGCACUCCGCCUGGGGAGUACGGCCGCAAGGCUGAAACUCAAAAGAAUUGACGGGGACCCGCACAAGCGGUGGAGCAUGUGGUUUAAUUCGACGCAACGCGAAGAACCUUACCAGGUCUUGACAUCCUCUGACAACCCUAGAGAUAGGGCUUUCCCUUCGGGGACAGAGUGACAGGUGGUGCAUGGUUGUCGUCAGCUCGUGUCGUGAGAUGUUGGGUUAAGUCCCGCAACGAGCGCAACCCUUGAUCUUAGUUGCCAGCAUUUAGUUGGGCACUCUAAGGUGACUGCCGGUGACAAACCGGAGGAAGGUGGGGAUGACGUCAAAUCAUCAUGCCCCUUAUGACCUGGGCUACACACGUGCUACAAUGGAUGGAACAAAGGGAAGCUAAAUCGCGAGGUCAAGCAAAUCCCAUAAAACCAUUCUCAGUUCGGAUUGUAGGCUGCAACUCGCCUACAUGAAGCCGGAAUCGCUAGUAAUCGCGGAUCAGCAUGCCGCGGUGAAUACGUUCCCGGGUCUUGUACACACCGCCCGUCACACCACGAGAGUUGGUAACACCCGAAGUCGGUGAGGUAACCUUUUUAGGAGCCAGCCGCCGAAGGUGGGACUGAUGAUUGGGGUGAAGUCGUAACAAGGUAGCCGUAUCGGAAGGUGCGGCUGGAUCACCUCCUUAAGCUUGGUACCCGGGAAUCUCUA
rnacentral:rRNA from 1 species